rnacentral:rRNA from 1 species
UACGUAGGGGGCAAGCGUUGUCCGGAAUCAUUGGGCGUAAAGAGCGUGUAGGCGGCCCGGUAAGUCCGCUGUGAAAGUCCAGGGCUCAACCCUGGGAUGCCGGUGGAUACUGUCGGGCUCGAGUCCGGAAGAGGAGUGUGGAAUUCCUGGUGUAGCGGUGAAAUGCGCAGAUAUCAGGAGGAACACCAAUGGCGAAGGCAGCACGCUGGGACGUUACUGACACUAAGGCGCGAAAGCGUGGGGAGCGAACAGG